rnacentral:rRNA from 1 species
GACGAACGCUGGCGGCGUGCUUAACACAUGCAAGUCGAACGGAAAGGCCCUGCUUUUGUGGGGUGCUCGAGUGGCGAACGGGUGAGUAACACGUGAGUAACCUGCCCUUGACUUUGGGAUAACUUCAGGAAACUGGGGCUAAUACCGGAUAGGAGCUCCUGCUGCAUGGUGGGGGUUGGAAAGUUUCGGCGGUUGGGGAUGGACUCGCGGCAUAUCAGCUUGUUGGUGGGGUAGUGGCAUACCAAGGCUUUGACGGGUAGCCGGCCUGAGAGGGUGACCGGCCACAUUGGGACUGAGAUACGGCCCAGACGCCUACGGGAGGCAGCAGUGGGGAAUAUUGCACAAUGGGCGGAAGCCUGAUGCAGCAACGCCGCGUGCGGGAUGACGGCCUUCGGGUUGUAAACCGCUUUCGCCUGUGACGAAGCGUGAGUGACGGUAAUGGGUAAAGAAGCACCGGCUAACUACGUG